GACAGAGGGUGCAAACGUUGUUCGGAAUUACUGGGCGUAAAGCGUGUGUAGGCUGCCGUGUAAGUCGGAUGUGAAAGCCCAGGGCUCAACCCUGGAAGUGCAUUCGAAACUGCAUGGCUUGAGUACCGGAGAGGUUGGUGGAAUUCUCGGUGUAGAGGUGAAAUUCGUAGAUAUCGAGAGGAACAUCGGUGGCGAAGGCGGCCAACUGGACGAGUACUGACGCUGAGACACGAAAGCGUGGGGAGCAAACAGG
rnacentral:rRNA from 1 species